UUUAAUUAAAAAUAAAAACACGAAAAAGAAAAAUAAUUUACCAGGCUUGAUAAAUGCUGCAAUUUUUGGAAACUCCAAUGGUUUAAAAAUAGAUCCAUCCGCAGAGGAGGACUCCUCUGGUCUGACUGGACUUAACUGGCUUCACUUGUAAAUUUUGUGACAGGUCGACCAAAAAGUAAUAUGUCUACUAAAAGUCGUUGUCAAGGAAACAGAUUUGUA